rnacentral:rRNA from 1 species
GAUGAACGCUGGCGGCGUGCCUAAUACAUGCAAGUCGAGCGAACAGACGAGGAGCUUGCUCCUCUGACGUUAGCGGCGGACGGGUGAGUAACACGUGGAUAACCUACCUAUAAGACUGGGAUAACUUCGGGAAACCGGCGCUAAUCCCGGAUAAUAUAUUGAACCGCAUGGUUCAAUAGUGAAAGACGGUUUUGCUGUCACUUCUAGAUGGUUCCGCGCCGCAUUAGCUAGUUGGUAAGGUAACGGCUUACCAAGGCAACGAUGCGUAGCCGACCUGAGAGGGUGAUAGGCCACACUGGAACGGAGACACGGUCCAGACUCCUACGGGAGGCAGCAGUAGGGAAUCUUCCGCAAUGGGCGAAAGCCUGACGGAGCAACGCCGCGUGAGUGAUGAAGGUCUUCGGAUCGUAAAACUCUGUUAUUAGGGAAGAACAAAUGUGUAAGUAACUAUGCACGUCUUGACGGUACCUAAUCAGAAAGCCACGGCUAACUACGUG